GCGCAGCAGUCGCGAAAACUCCGCAAUACGCGAAAGCGUGACGGGGCUACCCCGAGUGUCGUCCGCUGAGGAUGGCUUUUCUCCGGUGUAGUAAGCCGGAGGAAUAAGGAGAGGGCAAGUCUGGUGUCAGCCGCCGCGGUAAUACCAGCUCUCCGAGUGGUAGGGACGAUUAUUGGGCUUAAAGCGUCCGUAGCCGGCCAAGCAAGUUUCCCGUUAAAUCCAGCGAUCCAAUCGUUGGACUGCGGGAAAUACUGUUUGGCUAGGGGGCGAGAGAGGCCAACGGUAUUCCCGGGGUAGGGGUGAAAUCCCAUAAUCCCGGGAGGACCACCAGUGGCGAAGGCUGUUGGCUAGAACGCGCUCGACGGUGAGGGACGAAAGCUGGGGGAGCGAACCGGAUUAGAUACCCGUGUAGUCC
rnacentral:rRNA from 1 species